rnacentral:lncRNA from 1 species
ACAAGGCCAGUCUUCAACAGCCCCACCAUGAAGCAGCAGAUAAAUAGGAAACAUAGUUCAAUGCAUUCUGCUUGCUGUGUGAAAAAACAGGAUGCACGCCACUGGACUAAGCUUCAAAAGGUGAAGCAACAUAUUCUAAUGCUGGGAGCCUGGAAAAUAAAAGGAAGCAAGAGAGAGAAAAAUGCACUCAAAAUUGUCUGCCUUUGGGGACUCAACUGGUAAUAUUUUGUGAUAUAUGUGUGUAUACACACACACAUACACAUUAGGAAAAUAAUGACAUGAUAUAUCUGUAGAAAUA